UACGGAGGAUGCGAGCGUUAUCCGGAUUUAUUGGGUGUAAAGGGUGCGUAGACGGGAAAUUAAGUUAGUUGUGAAAUCCCUCGGCUUAACUGAGGAACUGCAACUAAAACUGGUUUUCUUGAGUACUGGAGAGGAAAGUGGAAUUCCUAGUGUAGCGGUGAAAUGCGUAGAUAUUAGGAGGAACACCAGUGGCGAAGGCGACUUUCUGGACAGUAACUGACGUUGAGGCACGAAAGUGUGGGGAGCAAACA
rnacentral:rRNA from 1 species